rnacentral:lncRNA from 10 species
GCGAGGGGGCCCCCAAAGUGCCCCGGAUUUUCAAAGGGCAUGCCGGCGCCUGGAAAGUUGUGAUGCCCCGGGCAUUCAGGGUAGCGCGGUGGGAAAGCCCGCGCCGCUCGGCCCCUACUCAGGCCGGCCGUCUCGGGGGGCGCGGCCCAGACCACCGACGCGCCUGGCGGGGGCACGAGCCGCUGGGCGUCCACCCUGCCUGGCCCCAGAGGUGUUCCCAGGUACCCGAGCCUCGCGGCGUUUUCAAGUGCUGGCUGCGAAGCUUGAAAAGGACCCGCCGCUGGGCCGGGCGUUUUGUGUUUGCCAAACAAAGCAUGAAGGCAGAAGAGACACCUGUAAUCCUGCUGAUGCUCAUGUGCUGAAAACUAUGACUGCACUCAAUAAAGAAGGAGACACAGCAUUACAGCUCCUGUGGAAUUAGUCUAGCAGAUUUCUUAGUUUUCACUGGAAAACCUUAGAAAAGUAGAGGAGAGAGGGGUGCAUGGAAGAGUGAGCACAAGAGAGGAGGCAUCUUACAUUUUAUAAACAUCUGAACACUGGGGUUCUAUCAAGAUUCUGUGUUUCAAUGUCUAUUUGACCACAGAUGUGCUCUUUCAAAAUUCUGUGUUUGAAGUUACGUCAGUAACAACUGAUGACCAUCCUGCAAUGACUAAUCCAAUUCUCAGCGCAGCUCUCUGAAAUAGUUUUGCUUUCUCUCUCUAGGUCUGUUCUAUACUCCUAACUCUCCAGGAGUUUACAAGUAAUAAAAUCUCUUCCAAAAGCUUUCUGUUGCAACAACUGGACCAUACUGAAAACUGAGUCCCACCAUUGUAAUCUAGGUUAGCAGGUAAUCAUUGUUGGUGGGGUCCUCCCUUUCCCCAGGCUCAUGUUUGUAUUGGGGAGUGGGAAAUUUUUGCUAGAGCAGCACUGCCAUCUCUCUACACUCCACCUGAUUGAUGGGAUGGACCAGAGAAAUGGACAUUCCCAACACAGUCCCUCCUUUCACAUCUGCUCACCUGCCCAGAGGAUACUAUCCACCACGCAUAGUGGGCUCUGCACCAAGGAUUCAGCAGUGACCAAGAGGAAACUUGGACCCUUCUCUCUAGGAGCUGACACCAUUUAGUGAGGAGUCAGACAAGUAAAUAAAGAAGGAAAUGCCGUUAAACAUACAGGAUGAUUAUCACAGUUGUAAGGGGAAUGAGGGAACACUCUGGGAGCAUAAAGGAGGUGCAUCUAACCAAUUAUCAACUGCAUCAUCAAGUAUCAAGUCAGAAAGAUUAAAUUUCAUAAACCUUGCCUCUAAGCACCAACUUGAUGGUCACUCUGACAACACUAUAUUGAGCAUCCUCUCUAGGUCAGACCUGUGCUAGGAGCUGGGGGGAUAUAAGGAAGAAUAGGACAUAGCCCAUGCUCUUAAGGAGCUCACAAUCGAAUGGAGAAAAUCUCCAAAUAAGCUAACACUUUCAGCAUAGUGCAGAGAUGGGGUCAUGCAAAAAGAACUAUAGAAAAACAGGGGUGGGGCCCCUAACACAGUGUGUAGGUCAGAGAAGGCUACUCCGAGGAGAUUAGUCCUGAGCUGAUUCUGAAGGGAUGAAUAGAGCUUAGUUGCUUGAAAAAUAUGGACAAGGUCAGUCCAGACAGAGGGAACUUCAUGGUCAAGAGUAUGGAGAUGAACCUGAGCAUAGAGGUUGGGGAAUGAGGCUUGAGCAAUAAGCAGGGG